rnacentral:rRNA from 1 species
GAUGAACGCUGGCGGCGUGCCUAACACAUGCAAGUCGAGCGAAGCGCUUAAAUUAGCUUUCUUCGGAAUGACGAUUUUUGUGACUGAGCGGCGGACGGGUGAGUAACGCGUGGGUAACCUGCCUCAUACAGGGGGAUAACAGUUAGAAAUGACUGCUAAUACCGCAUAAGACCCCAGCUUCGCAUGAAGCGGUGGUAAAAACUCCGGUGGUAUGAGAUGGACCCGCGUCUGAUUAGCUAGUUGGUAAGGUAACGGCUUACCAAGGCGACGAUCAGUAGCCGACCUGAGAGGGUGACCGGCCACAUUGGGACUGAGACACGGCCCAGACUCCUACGGGAGGCAGCAGUGGGGAAUAUUGCACAAUGGGGGAAACCCUGAUGCAGCGACGCCGCGUGAAGGAUGAAGUAUUUCGGUAUGUAAACUUCUAUCAGCAGGGAAGAAAGUGACGGUACCUGACUAAGAAGCCCCGGCUAACUACGUG